rnacentral:sRNA from 1 species
AUACUGAGGGCGAUCUGGCUGCGACAUCUGUCACCCCAUUGAUCGCCAGGGUUGAUUCGGCUGAUCUGGCUGGCUAGGCGGGUGUCCCCUUCCUCCCUCACUGCUCCAUGUGCAUCCCUCCCGAAGCUGCGCGCUAGGUGGAAGAGGACGACCAUCCCAGAUAGAAGGAGUGUACCGUUCUUCGGUCAAGGGUAUACAAUA